UUUAGAUCCUGCCCCCAGCCGGGAAGCAGAACCCGGGAAAGCCGCAAGCAGCGAGCGCCCUGGGAGGUGUUGCUGGAGGAGAAUGCCGAAGAGCGCAGGAUCGGUGCCCAGGCUGGCUGCAGAGCCAGAAAAAAGCAAAGGCUAGACAACGCAGCUAGCGGAAGCCUGGCGGAUGGGAGGAGGCCAGGAAGGGAUUUGGAAGGAAGGAGGGGUGGGGACGGAGAGCUGGGAGCUCUAGAGAACUAAGGAUCAGGAGCUUGGGCGCGCAACUGGUCCCCAGAGCCCGGUCUUGGCGAUCGGGUGGGAGGGGGAGGGGAAGGGGUGCGGUGCAGGUGACGGGUGGAGUAAAUGGAUGCAAAGGCUGAAGCUAAGCAGAAAAUGGAAGGCAACCUUUCCGAGAACCAGGGCGGGUGAGGACAAUCGAGCUGGGGGAACAGUAAUGAGAGAGCUGGAGAGGCACAGAAGGAGAGAGAAAUCCUGAUUGAAGAGUGAGGCCAUGGAAGGGUAAGAAAUAUACUUUGAACAGAAAAACGAAGAAAGCAAAAUGCGUCUGGAACUCAAAAUUCGAUAUAGGAAAAAAAAAAUCACGCUAAAGAGAACUUGUCCCGGAAAAUGCCGAGAGAUAGGGGAAAAAAAAAAAAAAAAGGCAUCGAGCAUACCGCAAGAACAGAAAGUGAAAGAAGGGAGAAAGGAGAGGAGACAAACCAGACAAGAAAUAGAUCCCAUAGAUGCCAAUGGUUAACUACAACAGAAAAACAUAAAUCCCCUUCGCCUGCUGUGGGCUUAAAUCCUAUGAACUUUUCUUGACACUCUAGAUCGACCUACUUUUCUAGAUUUGGUUCUGGUGCACUGUUCUCCAUGGAGUUUUUCUUGGCCUCCCAAGUCUAGGGUGGACACCCCUCCCCUCCACCUCUGUAAGAUUCGGUGCCAACCACAUUUGCUACAGCAUCUACUGCUCGGUACCAUAUUUGUCUGUUUUCUUUUCUUUUCUCUUCAUAUCCCUCUGGCCUCAGAGGGACUUUCCCUGACCUUAUCAUUCCCUUUUUGAAAACAUGAAAUGGUUUUCCAAUGCACAGAAUAUAAUGUGGUUUAAAAACCACUGACCAGGGCUUCCCUGGUGGAGCAGUGGUUAAGAAUCCGCCUGCCAAUGCAGGGGACACGGGUUCAAGUCCUGGUCCGGGCAGAUCCCACGUGCCACGGAGCAACUAAGCCUGUGUGCCACAACUACAGAGCCUGCGCUCUAGAGCCUGCGAGCCACAACAAUGGAAGCCUGCGCACCUAGAGCCCGUGCUCCUCAACAAGAGAAGCCACCGCAAUGAGAAGCCCAUGCACCGCAACGAAGAGCAGCCCCUGCUUGUCACAACUAGAGAAAGCCCGCGUGCAGCAAUGAAGAUCCAAUGCAGCUAAAAAUUAAAUAAUUAAUAAAAAAAAUUUCAAGUAAAUAAAAACCACAGACCACAAGACCCAACACAACCAGUGUCUGCCCAUACUUUCAAUCUAAAUAUCAUUCCAUUCCUCCCUACCUACUCCCACAUUCACCAUGCUCCAGUCACUCUGAUCUUUUCUCAGUAAUGCAUUCAGGUAUUCAUUCAUUCAGCAAGCAUUCAUGCAACAAACCAAGUACAGAGAACACAACUCAAGAACUGGUUCACAAGAUAAUCAUUGCCCCAUCUCACAUACUCCAAAUACUAUCUAGAUUCAGGACCUCUGUAUAGGCUCUAAACUGUUUUAUUCAUCACUGUUCACUCUCCAUCUGACAAUGUACCUGGCACAUAGUAGGUGCUCAAUCAGUAUUAAUAGACUAGAUGAAUAAAUGAAUGUGUCAGUAAUGAAUAAA